rnacentral:rRNA from 1 species
UACGGAGGGGACUAGCGUUGUUCGGAAUUACUGGGCGUAAAGCGCACGUAGGCGGAUUUGUUAGUCAGGGGUGAAAUCCCGAGGCUCAACCUCGGAACUGCCUUUGAUACUGCGAAUCUUGAGUCCGAUAGAGGUGGGUGGAAUUCCUAGUGUAGAGGUGAAAUUCGUAGAUAUUAGGAAGAACACCAGUGGCGAAGGCGGCCCACUGGAUCGGUACUGACGCUGAGGUGCGAAAGCGUGGGGAGCAAACAGG